rnacentral:rRNA from 1 species
AUGUUUUUUAGUGUUUUUCGAAAUUCAGUGUACUACACUCGAGAGUUGUCACACCUUUCUAUAUAUCUCAUGGUUUUGUGGCGUAUGCCUUGGAAACUUUUUGCCAAUGCACAAGUGCAAAGUCCUUUCAUUUUCCUCAUGUAUCCUCAGUUGCGUACUAUAACAUUUGACUAUGUGUCGUGUUGGUCUCAAUGGGCUAGCACAGUACUACAGACUAUGGCUAAAGGCUAUGUUUACAAACAUAAAACAAUGAUUCAAAGAAGAGGAGAAGACGGUGCUACGAUAUUUACCUCAAGGUGA